GAAAUAUGAGAUUCAAGGAGAAGCUUCUAACUUCAUUCUUUAGCAGUGCAAUUCUGUUAAUAUUUCU
rnacentral:tRNA from 1 species